rnacentral:lncRNA from 1 species
AGGAGAUCCUAUACUUAAUUAAGUCACUAAAGUUUUAAAAGUGGCAGAGCUGGGGCCCUGGCUGCCAGUUGGCACCUACAGACUGGCAUGGUGACCAAGAGUUCUCCUUCUUAGCACAUGCCCUAGCCACACUAGUGGUCAGGAGGCUGCAGCAGAAGCCCUCACUUGGGGUCUCAGCCGCCCCCCCCCCCCAGGCCAGUGUGGAAGAGGGCGGAGCCUCCAGGAAUUUAUGCUCCACAACAGACCUAGCGGACCAAAGAGCCGGUACCUGCACAGUGUCUGUGCUUCGGAGGAAAGGCCAGAUGUUUGAGCUCUUGUAUGUUUAUAAACGAAACGUCUGCUACAUCCAGACCCCUGUGUUUACACUAUGGCUGGGAGGGGGGCUAGCCAAUGGGGGCUAGCACACAUUAGAAGGCAUCCCUGGGGAUGUGGCUCCUUGGCACUCAAUCACUUGCCUCUUGGCUCUGUGACCUUCUGUGAGACAAUGCACUUCUACCUCAGUUCCCUCACUAUAAAACAAAUGCAGUUACACUAGCCACCGCCAAGAGUCAUAGGUCAAUGGAUGUUUAUAAAGCAUGCUCAGAAUCGGGCCUGGUAUUCAGUCGAUGCUCAAUUCAUGCAUUAUUCUUAUUCCUGCUUUGUCCCCUUCUAGAUCCCAGCAAACGCCCCCUCCACGCUCAGCCCCCAUUCCACCAAGGGAACCUCGUAGCAGCCACUGGAGCAAAAGAAAGCUUCUUUGCAUAUCUCUGGUGUUAAGUAGAACAUGGGCACUUACGAUACAGGGAUGUCCUUGGAUGAUCUUGUAAUAACAAAAAGUAACCCUUAUGUUACUUUGGUGGUCCUUGGCCUGUAGUAAAAACCUCCUCCUAACGCCAAGACUUUUGGCUUCUGAAAUAACCUCCAGACCAAAAUGGAGAAGCCUGUCGGUGCUACAGAAGUUCAGUUACACUUAAUACAUGUAUGUAUAUUUCCUUUUAUUUAGCUGUGCAAUGAGGCAUGAAACUGCACCUAACCAUCCACUUACUUGGCCCUUUGAACAUCAGCCUGCACGGCACUGGGACGAGGUGCGCGGUGCCAGCCUGCAGCUGUUUCUGCUUUGGUUAUUAUUGCAAAUACCCAGGGAAGGCUGCCUUUCGGUUUCUCUCCUCCCGGCUCUGCGGGCCGUCUGUGCUCACUAAUUUUCACACCAAUUUCCACUCUGGCUCUGGUUCUGAGGGAGCCACAGGCCCUUUUGCAGAGGGAAACCUCUGGGCGAUCUGACUUGGGCGGUGCUCUGUCUGUACAGCCCUCUCACUGUUUGAAGGGGUCUGGUUCAUGAUUUGUACUGAAAUUUGUUAAAUCCUGGAAGGUUUUGAUUUGGUUCCCCCCUUCUGUGUGUGCUGUGUCUUGUUUUUGUUGUUUCGGUAAUGCAGAGUCCAAAUUGAGUUAAAGAAGUUUUUCCGACUCCACGUUUGGCUGUGUUUCACGUUUUCAUCAGCUGUUACGGAUCGGGAAUAUUAAAUAGCACAACAAUAGUAAUUUGGGGAUUUCAGAGCUCAAUGGGGGUGAUUUAUAGAAACCUGAAGCUCUUACCAUAAUAUUUUGUUAAAUCUGUUUCCUCUUAUUUUGCCUGAUUUAAUACAGACUCUUCCUUUCGGUUCUCCGUCCCUUUGAAUGGCUGAAAGAAGUUAAAUGCAUGCAGGUCUAUCCCGCCUCCAAUAUGGAGAUAAAAGGGGCCAAUAUGAAAGUUUCUUAUAAGUUAUAGCAAUGGCAGGAACAUGCCGGGUUUUCAUAGCUGACCAGAGUCACUGCCUCAGCUGGUUUUGUUUAAAAAGCUGGGUUGGAGAUUGAGUCUGAUUGCUGG